GCUCAGGAUUAGCAAAAGUCAGGAAUCUCACCAGAAAGUCACUGCACUACAAGACAUCAAGCCUGAACAGGGACUUGAACCCUGGACCCUUAGAUUAAAAGUCUGAGGCUCUACCAACUGAGGUUUGACCUUGAUUGAAAGGUAAUCUUUUAAAACAAUACUUGUUAAAGGAAUAUAUAAGACGACUGGGGAGAAACCCAAUUCCAAAAAUGCUCAGAGGAACAAGCUGAAAAGGUACAGCUUUUUUUUGGAACCAACUCAGGAUUAGCAAGAAUCAGGAACCUAACCAGAAAGUGACUGCACUACAAGACAUCAAGCCUGAACAGGGACUUGAGCCCUGGACUCUCAGAUUAAAAGUCUGAUGCUGUACCGACUGAGCUAUCCAGGCUUCAAAAGCUCUGUUGAUUAUUGCGAAUGUGACUCUGGCAGAGGAACAAUCUCAAUGUGUUCGUCCAAUUCCAAAAAGGCUCAGAGGAACAAGCAGAAAAGGUACAUCUUUUUUUGGAACCGGUUCAGGAUUAGCAAGAGUCAGGCAUCUUACCAGAAAGUCACUCCACUACAAAACUUCAAGCCUGAAUAGGGACUUGAAACCUGGACCCUUAGAUUAAAAGUCUGAGGCUCUACCAACUGAGGUUUGACCUUGAUUGAAAGGUAUUCUUGUAAAAUAAUACUUGUUAAAGGAAUAUAUGAGACGACUGAGGAGAAACCCAAUUCCAAGAAGGCUCAGAGGAACAAGCUGAAAAGGUACAUCUAUUUUUGGAACCAGCUCAGGAUUAGCAAGAGUCAGGCAUUUUACCAGAAAGUCACUCCACUACAAAACUUCAAGCCUGAAUAGGGACUUGAACCCUGGACCCUCAGAUUAAAAGUCUGAGGCUCUACCAACUGAGGUUUGACCUUGAUUGAAAGGUAAUCUUGUAAAACAAUACUUGUUAAACGAAUAUAUAAGACGACUGAGGAGAAACCCAAUUUCCAAAAAGGCUCAGAGGAACAAGAUGAAAAGGUACAGCUUGUUUUGGAACCAGCUCAGGAUUAGCAAGCAUCAGGAACCUAACCAGAAAGUGACUGCACUACAAGACAUCAAGCCUGAACAGGGACUUGAACCCUGGACCCUCAGAUUAAAAGUCUGAUGCUCUACCGACUGAGCUAUCCAGGCUUCAAAAGCUCUUUUGAUUAUUGCAAAUGUGACUCUGGCAGAGGAACAAACUACAUGUGUUCGUCCAAUUCCAAAAAGGCUCAGAGGAAUGAGCAGAAAAG
ensembl:lncRNA